CCUACGGGAGACAGCAGUGAGGAAUAUUGGUCAAUGGACGAGAGUCUGAACCAGCCAAGUAGCGUGAAGGAUGACUGCCCUAUGGGUUGUAAACUUCUUUUAUAUGGGAAUAAAAUGUUCCACGUGUGGGAUUUUGUAUGUACCAUAUGAAUAAGGAUCGGCUAACUCCGUGCCAGCAGCCGCGGUAAUACGGAGGAUCCGAGCGUUAUCCGGAUUUAUUGGGUUUAAAGGGAGCGUAGGUGGAUUGUUAAGUCAGUUGUGAAAGUUUGCGGCUCAACCGUAAAAUUGCAGUUGAAACUGGCAGUCUUGAGUACAGUAGAGGUGGGCGGAAUUCGUGGUGUAGCGGUGAAAUGCUUAGAUAUCACGAAGAACCCCGAUUGCGAAGGCAGUUCACUGGACUGCAACUGACACUGAGGCUCGAAAGUGUGGGUAUCAAACAGGAUUAGAUACCCGUGUAGUC
rnacentral:rRNA from 1 species